CAGGACGAACGCUGGCGGCGUGCUUAACACACGCAAGUCGAACGAGAAUCUGCUGAAGGAGGAUUCGUCCAACGGAAGCAGAGGAAAGUGGCGGACGGGUGAGUAACGCGUGAGGAACCUGCCUUGAAGAGGGGACAACAGUUGGAAACGACUGCUAAUACCGCAUGACGCAUAGAGGUCGCAUGAUCUAUAUGCCAAAGAUUUAUCGCUUCAAGAUGGCCUCGCGUCUGAUUAGCUGGUUGGCGGGGUAACGGCCCACCAAGGCGACGAUCAGUAGCCGGACUGAGAGGUUGAACGGCCACAUUGGGACUGAGAUACGGCCCAGACUCCUACGGGAGGCAGCAGUGGGGAAUAUUGGGCAAUGGGCGCAAGCCUGACCCAGCAACGCCGCGUGAAGGAAGAAGGCUUUCGGGUUGUAAACUUCUUUUGUCAGGGACGAGUAGAAGACGGUACCUGACGAAUAAGCCACGGCUAACUACGUG
rnacentral:rRNA from 1 species